AUUACUGCCUCUUGGAGAACAGCCGACCGUACUCCAGACAGAGACAAAGACAAGUCAUGUACCACACUUUGUCAACAAUGAAUGUUGUUCCUGCAAUCUGGAUGAAGAAUAAUAUAUUACUGCCUCUUGGGAAAACAGCAGACUGUACUCCAGACAGAGACAAAGACAUGAGGACAUCCAUUGCUUUUAAGUCCUAUACCAGACUAUGUUGUUCCAGCUGUCUGGGUAAAGACUGAUACAUUACUACCUCUUGGAGAACAGCAAACCAUUCUCCAGACAGAGACAAAGACAUGGACAUCAAAACAGAAAAUAAAGUACUUGAUCUUGGAUUGUUUGGGGUGAGCGCUGGCAAAUAAUGAAGCAGGAAAUGAAAAUGGCUAUAAGAAGUCCUUUGUGUGCACAGACAUGACUGGAGAUUAAAGUUACUAAAUGUUGCUUUUUUUCUAGCUGGUGACAUAACAUUGUAUUAUUUUCAAAUGUAUUUAUCUAACACACAUUUACACAUCUGUAAACAUUCAUUUUAUAUUGCAUGUUUUUAUAUUUAACCAAUUGUUGUAUAUUGCUUUCUGUUAUUACAUCUGUUUUUUAUUGCAUGUUUAUUGUUUAAAACAAUUAAGUUAAUGUUUCUCUGUUAGCUUUUAUGUUACUUUGGCUAUUUCUUUGCUUUUAUUUGAUCCUUCUACUGUUAUUUGUUUA